CCCCCGCGCCUCUAAACCCCCCAAAAAUUCCGACUCUAAACCCGCCAAAUUUCCCCCCAAUCCUUCAAAUCCCUCAUCUCAUCUCAGACUCCCAAGAGUCCACCUCAAAUCCUUCAUCUCAUCGUCGUCGUCUUCAUCCCUUCAAAUCCCUAAAUUUUGCUCUCAUCGUUCCUCAUCCUCCCUCAUCCUCCAGCCUCGCCGUUCAGCCCACAGCUUCUUCAUCGCAGGAUCUUGCGAGCUCAGCGUCCGGAAUCGCAACGCCAUUUAGAACUACAGCUUGGCGUCUCCCAUCCCCAGAUACCCUCACGGCGCUCAAAGCGAGGACGGCUAUGCGGUGAGAUGAUAUUCAACCAUGAUCCACCUACUUGCUUUGGAUGCCAGAAAGCUGUUCUCGAGCCAGCAAUGCAGGGACGUGAUAUAAUUGGUCGGGCAAAAACGGGGACUAGGAAAACUCUUGCUUUUGGAAUACCCAUUAUGGAUAAAAUCUUACAGGAUCAGAAGAAAAAUGGGUGCACAAUCGACUUGGGAUGUUGUGCAGCGCCUCAGUGAUUGUCCGUCGUUGAAGGAGAUUCUUCCCGAGUCGAUAUACUUAGCUAUCUUUAAGUUGGCGUAUGACAAGCAUGAAGUUCAUGGUGGUGGAGCACAAUCGACUUGGAUGUUGUGCAGCGCCUCAGUGAUUGUCCUGAAUUUUACCUAUAUGUAAUAUAUUUGUGAUUUUAUUGCGUAAUGAAUGAAUAUUAUUUGAGCAUGCGGGAUGUAUUGUGAUUGUGAUUAUAUGAUGAGUAUUGUUAGAUAUUGUGGAUUGACGGAUGAAA